AGGAAGAUGGUAUACCUUUCCAAGUAUUCAUCCCAGCCCAUUGUUUCUGACUUGUAGGGUUUCCUUCCAAGCAUCAAUGAUUAUGUGUGGCAAGACAAUAAGGACAUCUACAUGAUUUAUUACUCAUAUUUUCCACCAUUGAAGUCAGCUUGGGAAGCAACAACUUGGCAGGACUCAGAAGCCCUAGGGAGAAAUGCUCCUAUCCAGUAGCUUCUGAAAAAUGGUAAUGCUUCUGUGUUCCUCUGACUUACUGGAGAAAAGAGAACUGGAGGAAAUUCACCUACAGACAAAAAAAGAAAAAUAAGGGAGACUUGAAAAGAAGAAGAGAGGCGACAGACACAGUAAG